CCCAAUCUUACCCGAGCGACUCAGACAGGAGUAUUCCUCUAGAUAAGGACAGCUGGGGCCACGCUUACCAAUUCAAUUUCAGUCCCUACUCGCUGAUGUUCCUGCCCACCGGAUCGCUCCAGGAGACUGGGUCUAUGUGAAAGAGUGGAAACACGAGCCUCUCCAACCCCGGUGGGCGGGCCCUUUCCAAGUCCUUCUUACCUCUCACACUGCUAUUCGAGUGAGAGAGCGAGACACUUGGAUACACCACACCCGAGUCAAGCUAGCCCCUAGGACGGGGCCAGAAGCAGACGACUUCGGACCUCGAGGGAGCACCGCCAGCUCUUCCCACCGCGACCCGGAAGAGCCAGAAACAGACGAUACCUGGAAAGCUGAACCUCUUGAGGGACUAAAGCUUCUGUUCCGGCAGACAAAAUCCUGAGACUUUAUAACUAUGGGUUCUCAGACGGUGCUGCAGUGGCUAUUGCUUUUGGGUUUGCCCCUUGUACAAGCUAACCCACACCCAGCCACUAAACCUCUUCAGUGAAUAGCCACGUUGGGACACUUAUCUGAUUGUUGGCUGUGUCACAAAACCCGCUCUGAGGAAGGAAUAGGAUUGUGGGCUGUACCUGCAAAUCUUUCUGAAGUACUCUCCUUACAGGUAGAACGGAAAACUGAAUGGGCAUGGAUUGGGGAAUAUCAAUAUGA